UACGUAGGGGGGCAAGCGUUAUCCGGAUUUACUGGGUGUAAAGGGAGCGCAGGCGGCGUGGCAAGUCAGAUGUGAAAACCCGGGGCCCAACCCCGGGAGUGCAUUUGAAACUGCCAUGCUGGAGUGCCGGAGAGGUAAGCGGAAUUCCUAGUGGUAGCGGUGAAAUGCGUAGAUAUUAGGAGGAACACCAGUGGCGGAGGCGGCUUACUGGACGGUAACUGACGGCUGAGGCUCGAAAGCGUGGGGAGCAAACAGGG
rnacentral:rRNA from 1 species